UCUCCAAAAAUAACUUUUUUUUGUGGUACACUGAUAGUAGAACAGUCUGAUGACUCAUUCAGAUCGACCUUUUUAAGAAAGGGGCAUUUAUUAUGAAGCAGACAGAAAGCGAAAAACCGCUUGUCUUAAAAAUUACUAUCAGUGUGCUGAUCGGCUUGUUUUUACUGAACUUGAUGCCGAUUUUGGCGAUCUUCGGCUAAUCAGAGUUGCCAAAAAAAAAGAUUUUAUGCUAAUUUUUAAAAGACGGAAAAAAUGAUUUAUUUUUUAUGGUGAGAAAGUUAAGGGAAAAUAAGCCCUUAAUGCUUUUUAGAAAAAAAAGACUCCGAUGAUCCUUUGCAAGGAUUUUCGGAGUUUUUUUUAUGG
rnacentral:sRNA from 1 species